AACGAACGCUGGCGGCAUGCCUAACACAUGCAAGUCGAACGAGACCUUCGGGUCUAGUGGCGCACGGGUGCGUAACGCGUGGGAACCUGCCCGUAGGUUCGGAAUAACUCCCCGAAAGGGGUGCUAAUACCGGAGAAUGUCUUCGGACCAAAGAUUUAUCGCCUUUGGAUGGGCCCGCGUUGGAUUAGCUAGUUGGUAGGGUAAAAGCCUACCAAGGCGACGAUCCAUAGCUGGUCUGAGAGGAGGAUCAGCCACACUGGGACUGAGACACGGCCCAGACUCCUACGGGAAGCAGCAGUGGGGAAUAUUGGACAAUGGGCGAAAGCCUGAUCCAGCAAUGCCGCGGGAGUGAUGAAGGCCUUAGGGUUGUAAAGCUCUUUUACCCGGGAUGAUAAUGACAGUACCGGGAGAAUAAGCUCCGGCUAACUCCGUG
rnacentral:rRNA from 1 species